rnacentral:rRNA from 1 species
GACGAACCGUGCGAACGUUGUGCGGAUUCAUUGGGCGUAAAGGGUGCGUAGGCGGCGCGGUAAGUCGGGUGUGAAAUCUUGGAGCUUAACUCCGAAACUGCAUUCGAUACUGCCGUGCUUGAGGACUGGAGAGGAGACUGGAAUUUACGGUGUAGCGGUGAAAUGCGUAGAUAUCGUAAGGAGGACCAGUGGCGAAGGCGGGUCUCUGGACAGUUCCUGACGCUGAGGCACGAAGGUCAGGGGAGCAAACGGG